rnacentral:tRNA from 1 species
UGGGGUGUGGCUCAGUGGUGGAGCGCAGGCCCAGCACGUGGGAGGCACUGGGUUCAAUCCUCAGCACCAUAU